rnacentral:rRNA from 1 species
GACGUAGGGCGCGAGCGUUGUCCGGAAUUAUUGGGCGUAAAGAGCUCGUAGGCGGUUUGUCGCGUCUGCUGUGAAAACUCGGGGCUUAACCCCGGGCCUGCAGUGGGUACGGGCAGACUAGAGUGCGGUAGGGGAGACUGGAAUUCCUGGUGUAGCGGUGAAGUGCGCAGAUAUCAGGAGGAACACCGGUGGCGAAGGCGGGUCUCUGGGCCGUAACUGACGCUGAGGAGCGAAAGCGUGGGGAGCGAACAGG